AGUGAACGCUGGCGGUAGGCCUAACACAUGCAAGUCGAACGGCAGCACAGGAGAGCUUGCUCUCUGGGUGGCGAGUGGCGGACGGGUGAGGAAUACAUCGGAAUCUACUCUGUCGUGGGGGAUAACGUAGGGAAACUUACGCUAAUACCGCAUACGACCUACGGGUGAAAGCAGGGGACCUUCGGGCCUUGCGCGAUUGAAUGAGCCGAUGUCGGAUUAGCUAGUUGGCGGGGUAGAGGCCCACCAAGGCGACGAUCCGUAGCUGGUCUGCGAGGAUGAUCAGCCACACUGGAACUGAGACACGGUCCAGACUCCUACGGGAGGCAGCAGUGGGGAAUAUUGGACAAUGUGCGCAAGCCUGAUCCAGCCAUACCGCGUGGGUGAAGAAGGCCUUCGGGUUGUAAAGCCCUUUUGUUGGGAAAGAAAUCCAGCUGGCUAAUACCCGGUUGGGAUGACGGUACCCAAAGAAUAAGCACCGGCUAACUUCGUGCCAGCCGCCGCCGUAA
rnacentral:rRNA from 1 species